rnacentral:misc_RNA from 1 species
GCUGGCGCAACAACUGUCAGCUCCUUUUAAAUGUAUUAGCAGAGCAGUGUCAGGACUGGCCUCAGUUUGAUAAGAAGCUUUAUCUAUGCUGUCGUCUAGUUUCCUCUUAUGCUUGGCUUCAAAUUGUCUUUGGACUGCCUCUUGAGGCAAAAAUAUUAUUGAUCGACCUCAAAUCAGGUAGGACUACCCGCUGGACUUAA